UGGAGCAACGCCGCGUGAGCGAUGAAGGCCUUCGGGUCGUAAAGCUCUGUUGUUAGGGAAGAACAAGUACCGUUCGAAUAGGGCGGUACCAUGACGGUACCUAACCAGAAAGCCACGGCUAACUACGUGCCAGCAGCCGCGGUAAUACGUAGGUGGCAAGCGUUGUCCGGAAUUAUUGGGCGUAAAGCGCGCGCAGGCGGUCCUUUAAGUCUGAUGUGAAAGCCCACGGCUCAACCGUGGAGGGUCAUUGGAAACUGGGGGACUUGAGUGCAGAAGAGAAAAGCGGAAUUCCACGUGUAGCGGUGAAAUGCGUAAAGAUGUGGAGGAACACCAGUGGCGAAGGCGGCUCUUUGGUCUGUAACUGACGCUGAGGCGCGAAAGCGUGGGGAGCAAACAGGAUUAAAUACCCUGGUAGUCCACGCCGUAAACGAUGAGUGCUAAGUGUUAGAGGGUUUCC
rnacentral:rRNA from 1 species